ACUUCAGUUGUGCCAUCGGUAACACAUCAGACCAGCCAUCUGAAUCUGCGGGUUCGAGUCCCGCUUGAAGUU
rnacentral:tRNA from 1 species